GAAAAUGAAUCAGGGUGGGGUGGGGGCACGGUCAGGACAAGAAAAUUCACUGAGAGGCUGUUGAGGUAAUUGAAGGGAUUGAUGAUAAUGACCUGAACUAGGAUGGUGGCAGUGGAGAUGGAUGGGCAUGAAUGGACUAAUGGACUUUUUUAGUAGUCCCACUCAAAAGGACUUGAAAAUGGAUUAGAUGCAGAAUGUAAGGAAGAAGGGGUGAGGCAUGAAACUCCAAUUUUUAAGUUGGUUAAAAGAAACACAGAAAGACCGAUUUUGAGAACAAACAAGAAUUUCCACUUGGGUGUUUUUUUUUGUUGUUUGUUUUUUGUUUUUUGUUUUUCAUUUCCAUUGCCUGAUAGAAACCCACAUUCAGGUGUCUAAGCAGCAGUUGAAUCUUUAGAGUCAAAGCUUAGGGGAGAACUCUAGCUGGUGAUAAUGAUUUGGGAAUUUUUAGCAUAGAAGUAGUCAUUGAAUCCAAGGGAAUGAGUGAUACUGCCCAGAACAAGUUUGUAAAGAGGAAAAAAAAAAAAAAAAAAAAAAAGGUAGUAGGAACACCGUGAAAGCCAUCAAUAGAAAAGGAAGAGGGCAUACCUGGCAUUUUUAUUUUUCUCUUUGAGAGGUAAAUUUUCCACAUGUUUCAGGCUAUUUUACAGAGGUAUCUUACUAAUGAAAAGUACACAGUGUGAAUACUGUUAACAUACAUGAGGAAUGUAUAUUGAGAUCUUCAACCUAUAAAUACCAUUUUAAUACAUAUGAAUCCCAAGAAAUUCUGAUACGUUUAGGUUCAUGGUUUUGUGUUGCAAAAUAUUCUUCAAAUGCAGGACUUCUUAAACUGAUCCAUACAGCACUCUUAUGACCCAAUGGCAAUAUAUGGACAUAAAUUAUUAUUCUUAUUCUCCAAACUGGGGUUCCCAUAUAAUAGAGCUACAAAAUCAACGACAUAAUCCAUAAAUAUUUUCUGCUCUUUGUAUAUAUUCACAUAUGCAUUUAUUUUGAUGAUAUCUGUCAUGAAUAUCCUUCUGGCUUAUAACCUUUUUCUUUAUGAUAACCUUUGGUUAGAAAGAACGUCACAUGGUCAACUUUUAGCCUCUCAAAAAUUUUUUUAAAGACAGAUAUUUAAACUAGGUGAGCUAAAUUUUAUAUAUCAUAAAUGCUGGUUCAUUUGCUUCAAUACUGUUCUCAGCCUCUGUUGCUUCAGAGGAAUGAUUAUAAAUACUUUACCUUUCAUUUGAAUUAGGUUUCUGUUGAGACAAGUAUUUUCUGAAUAUGUCCUCACUUCACAAAAUUAAUGUAUUUUCAGCCUUCUCUAAUUUUACCACUGUUUUGAUAGUUUUAUAGCAGAGGAAAAUGUAUUGAAACAAUUUCAAGACUUUUUAAAAUUUUUCUUAUUUGUAAGAUAUAUGGUUGAUUCAUUCCCUCCCUAGAUUGGAACUACUGCAAAAUCAACAUUUUACUUUUAAGUGAAUCCAAAUGUAUAUAUUCUGGUUAAAUACCCUCAGCAGUAUCAGUUGACUUUCCUUUAAAUGGAACUUCUAUUUCAAAAAUAAACCAUCAAAAAUAUUAUAUCCUGAGUUACUCUGUAAGAGGGGAUAAGUAUGAAGUAGCAAGCCAGCAAUAAAAUAAGUAUCCUGGAUGCCCACCAGAUUCACUGACUAGCUAACUGACUCACACAUUAACCAAACAAUUUUGAGAUUCAGAGCAGGGCCUGAGGAAAAUUACCAAUGGAUAUUUGUAAUGAAUUAUUGGGGUUGCUUGUAAGUGUUUGAAACUUCAAUUAUUACAGCUGUGUAUGCCAAGAAUCCAAUUAUUCUUUCAGCCAAUUUUUCCUGACCACCUACUCUGUGCCUUAGUCACAGACACUGAACAAAAAAUACACUUGUCCUUUCUUUAUAGGCACUUUUGGUCUAUGGGGGAAACCAAUCAAGCAAUCAAAUGAACAUAAGUAUAAUUUAACAUGAGGUAAGGUAAGAAACAAGAUUCUCUAUAGUGUGUCACCAAAGUACAUGGUCUUCAGGACAGACAACAGUCAGGAGUCACCUCUCUGAGAAAGUGACUCUUGGAAGGAUGAGUAGGAAGUAGGCAGGCAAAGUGGGUUGGGCAGAGGGCUGGGGAAGGUAUUUAUAGAGAGAGAUCCACAUAAACCAUAGUCUUCUCCUCAUGUACUCAGAGAAGGUAUGGAGCCCUCAGAGAUAUAAAAAUGUCAUUGUGACCGUGGCAUAAAGGUGAGGAAAAGAGAGUUUAAAUUGAGGAAGGUGUCACAUCAUACAAGGCAUUAAAGGUUAUAAUGAGAAUUU